AAGUUAUUGCGGAUUUUCAAGAAGUUCCCUCGAUUUCUCUGGGAUCCCAUAAUCAGAUCCUGGUUUCCUUAUCAUGGUACUAAACUUGGAAUAUCUUCUUUCCAACAAAAAAAGAAUUAUCAAAAUCGGUACAUCCAGUAGAAAGUUAUGCGGUAUAAUACAACGUAGGUCGAUAAAAAAAGCGUCAAGUAAAAACGCAUUAUUAGAUAUAACUCGAAAAGUAGUUGUUAGAUCUCAAAUAAAUUUAAAUGGGACCAAUUGGCACACACCACCUUUCGAUUAAAACAAAAUUUGUCGAAAUCGGUCUACCCGGUCAAAAGUUCUGAUGUAACAUACAUAAAACAAAAAAA
rnacentral:misc_RNA from 1 species